rnacentral:rRNA from 1 species
CCUACGGGCUGCUGCAGUGGGGAAUAUUGGGCAAUGGAGGAAACUCUGACCCAGCAACGCCGCGUGAAUGAUGAAGGUCUUCGGAUUGUAAAGUUCUUUUCUAAGGGAAGAAGAAAGUGACGGUACCUUAGGAAUAAGCCUCGGCUAACUACGUGCCAGCAGCCGCGGUAAUACGUAGGAGGCAAGCGUUAACCGGAAUGACUGGGCGUAAAGGGUGAGUAGGUGGUUUGACAAGUUGGUAGCGAAACUCCGGGGCUCAACCUCGGCACUACGACCGAAACUGGCGGAAUUGAGUGCAGUAGGGGUAAAUGGAAUGCCGAGUGUAGCGGUGGAAUGCGUAGAUAUGAGGAGGAACACCAGUGGCGAAGGCGAUUUGCUGGACUGUAACUGACACUGAGGCACGAAAGCGUGGGGAGCAAACAGGAUUAGAUACCCUGGUAGUC